rnacentral:rRNA from 1 species
CCUACGGGAGGCAGCAGUGGGGAAUAUUGCACAAUGGGGGAAACCCUGAUGCAGCGACGCCGCGUGAGUGAAGAAGUAUUUCGGUAUGUAAAGCUCUAUCAGCAGGGAGGAAAGUGACGGUACCUGACUAAGAGGCCCCGGCUAACUACGUGCCAGCAACCGCGGUAAUACGUAGGGGGCACGCGUGAUCUGGAUUUACUGGGGGAAAAGGGAGCGGAGACGGCCAGACAAGUCAGAAGUGAAAGCCCAGGGCUAAACCCUGGGACUGCUUUUGAAACUGGCGGGCUGGAGUGCAGGAGAGGUAAGAGGAAUUCCCAGUGUAGCGGUGAAAUGGGUAGAUAGUAGGAGGAAAACCAGUGGCGAAGGCGGCUCAUUGGAAUGUAACUGACGUUGAGGCUCGAAAGCGUGGGGAGCAAACAGGAUUAGAACCCUGGUAGUC